GUAACGCUCUCUAUUUGUGUUUGAUUUAUUGUAUUCCUCGGUAGACCAGAAAGAAGAGCGUUACAAUAAUCUAGCCUGCUAGUUAUAAAAGUGUGAGUCAGUCUCUCUGUGUUGCUCAGAGAGAGAAAUGGCCUCACUUUGGUGCGGCUGGUUCAAAACGAAGAUUAGUAAAGGUCAUUUCUUUUUGUUUGUUUUCGUCUCUGUAAAACAAGCCAGAAAUCAUCAAUGUCAGAUGUGAGCAGAAGCAUCCUUUUCACUCUCGCUGUUACGAUGGAAUAUUCAACAGCAGAUACACACUCGGUGAGCUUGCCAAACACCCGAGCUAUAGAAAGGACAAAAGUUUUUCCUCUGUGUUGGUGUCUGAAAAAAAAAACUUCCAGCCAAAUCCCUGCUCCUCACACAACAGAACCUCUGAGCCUGCACACCUCUCUGGAGAGCACGCACGGUAUACAGUGACACAAAACAUGCACGACUUCACAUGCAAAAAGGAUGGUGAUGGUGAGGGUUGUAGUGGCAGCGGCGGCGGUGGCGGCGGCGGUGGUGGUGGGGGAGGAGGGACAAAAAGCUCCAAAAAAAGUUUCCCCGAGAUGGCGAGCGAGCCAAAAGACAAAAAUGGAUGUUCUGCAAGGCGGGGUCAUUAAUAACACAGUGACUAGUGAAUGUCGCAGGGAACAAUGGCAUUGUGUAGAGAAGAGAUGACGAAUCCUCCUCUCUUUUCUCUCUCAGACGGCUCUAUCUAUUAAUUAGUUUUAUGUCUUCAUUCAUUAUUUCAUACCGUUCCAACGCCCAGAGUGAUUUUUAAUCGCCCGUGGCAAUACGGUUCACCACGCCAGGUUCAAUACAGUGUUUCAAUGCAAUAAGUUUGUCUCGUAUGGUCACUGGUUUGUAUGUGGACACCAGUAGUUGAAAAGACUUUGAUACAUUUAUUCAAAUAGUGUACUUGUGUUCAGUAUGGAGGUGCUUUGGCGGAGUGUUUCCUAUACGUUUCAGAGUAAAAUGCUGUACUUUUCACUCCACUUUAUCCAUCUGAUAGCUACUACUUAUUUUUCAGAUUAUAUAACGUAAAAAAUUUGAUCAGUUUAUUAAAUGUGACACAGUUCCCCCCUUUACACCUUACAUUAAAACAUGUUUCCCAUCCAGAUUGUAUCUAGAUAUGAUUAAUGUGUCUCCAGUGUUCACAUUCAGAUCUGAUUGAGGUCCGAUCGCUCAAACAAACGAACGCCACUUCCUCCUCUCGUUUGCAUCGCAGUCAGGACCAGUUGUAGCCGUACUCCUAAGCCAUUGCUUCAUAAAUGGCUUGUUUGUUUUUGUGAUAUGAAUUGCCAAGAUUUCGCUUGUAUUCACUUUCUUCGGACCAAAUUGAAACCAGACAUUCAACUCCAUUGACGAGUGUCUUGAAUAUAAUACAACAACAACAAAAACAUUAUCGGUAUCUGUCACUACAGUCGCUUGGGUUAAUUCUGACAUUGACACCAACAUGACAUCAAGCAGAACAAGA